GUACACGCUGUGACUAGCAUAUCAAUAAGCGGAGGAAAAGAAACUAACAAGGAUUCCCUCAGUAACGGCGAGUGAAGCGGGAAGAGCUCAAAUUUGAAAUCUUGAAAGGCCACCUUUCACGAAUUGUAGUUUAAAGAAGUGUUUUCUGUUACGAUCGUAAUAUAAGUUCUUUGGAAUAGGGACAUCACAGAGGGUGAGAAUCCCGUCUAUGAUUGCGAUUUGUAGCUUUGUGAUACACUUUCAAAGAGUCGGGUUGUUUGGGAAUGCAGCCCAAAACGGGAGGUAAAUUUCUUCUAAGGCUAAAUAUUGGCGAGAGACCGAUAGCGAACAAGUACCGUGAGGGAAAGAUGAAAAGAACUUUGAAAAGAGAGUUAAAUAGUACGUGAAAUUGUCAAAAGGGAAGCGUUUAACACCAGUGUUGUUUUCUGAAAAUCAACCUCUGUUAGCUUUAUGCAUGUUUGUUUAGACCUAAUCAGCUAUCUUUCAUGUUCUAUUGUUUGCAGUGGUGCACUUUCCAGUUUACAGGUCAACAUCAGUUUUUUUUACCGUAAAAAAGUUAAAGAAAGGUAGCUCAUGGCUCCGGUCGUGAGUGUUAUAGUCUUUUUCCUAUGCGGUAGGAGAGACUGAGGUCUGCAGUGUAGGCUAUUUGGCUAGAUACUCAGGUGCUAUGUGAUACCAUUUCAUAAACAACUUGUUGAUUAUGUUUUGUCUAUUGCAUACUCGCUUGUACUAUCAUACCUACGCUUAGGAUGUUGAGUAGCGACAUACGCAC
rnacentral:rRNA from 1 species